UUGUCUUCUUUCUGUGGCUCAUUGACAAAAUAUUCCAAAAUGUUUAUCAUAUUUUCCCUGGUUCCAUAUGUUGCACUUUAAUUUUACCUCAAUUAUUUGAAGUAACUUUUGUGUGUAUGUUUGCUCUUGAUUUCAAGACAUUUGUGCCUGAGCCAUUGUUCUACAGUAUGUCAGUUGUUUUGUGCAUGAAAACCGCUCACUUAAUAUUAAAAUAAAGAC
rnacentral:lncRNA from 1 species